rnacentral:rRNA from 1 species
AUUGAACGCUGGCGGCAGGCCUAACACAUGCAAGUCGAACGAGUGGCGGACGGGUGAGUAAUGUCUGGGAAACUGCCCGAUGGAGGGGGAUAACUACUGGAAACGGUAGCUAAUACCGCAUACCAUCGGAUGUGCCCAGAUGGGAUUAGCUAGUAGGUGGGGUAACGGCUCACCUAGGCGACGAUCCCUAGCAGGUCUGAGAGGAUGACCAGCGACACUGGAACUUGGACACGGUCCUGAGUCCUACGGGAGGCAGCGGUGGGGAAUAUUGCACAAUGGUCGCAAGACUAAUGCAGCCAUGCCGCGUGUAUGAAGAAGGCCUUCGGGUUGUAAAGUACUUUCAGCGAGUAGGCGUUAAUCGCAGAAGAAGCACCGGCUAACUCCGUGCCAGCAGCCGCGGUAAUUC